CGGUAGAGAAGCAGUGCUUGAAAUACAGACAGUGUCAUUCUGAAAAACCUGAAUAUUGCUUUUAAUCUUAGAAUUAAGCAUCUGUAGGAAGAAUGAAUGUUUCAGAAUUCCUAAGUACCCUUCAGAAGACAGGUUAAUUCUAUGUUUUCUCAGUAUUCAUUGAAUUUAUUUCUAGAAGAUGAUUUUAUUGUGCGUUGUUUGGUUUUUUAAAUCUUAAGUGUGUGCACUGGAAGGACCUAAGAUUGCCAGGUGUGUAUUCCCGUGGGAUGGAGGCUGCUCAGCCUCGCUCUGCGGGCACGAGGGGCCUGCUGGUGUUUUCCUCUUAACCUGGCGCUGCCAGGGUUGUGGUGACGCGGGGCCGCGGUGCCAGCGGUGGGGGUUGUGGUGACCUAGGGCCGCGGUGCCAGCGGUGGGGGCCGUGGUGACGCGGGGCCGCGGUGCCAGCGGUGGGGGUUGUGGUGACCUAGGGCCGUGGUGCCAGCGGUGGGGGCCGCGGUGCCAGUGGUCGGAGGAGACUCUUGUGGAAGCCCCCAUGCGAUAUCGCAGCUGUUUGAGUCCUGGCAGCCCUUGAGAUCUGGGAAUGAGAAACUGAUACCCAUAUGACUUUGUUAGGUAAAAUGUAACUGCUGGGCUGAAAUUUCACCAAGCUGGUUGGUCAUUGUUGAGAACAGAUGUAAAAGAUCCCAUGGCACUAAACUGGUCAUCUUACAUAGAACCUGUUAUCAAAGAAUUUGAGCUCUUGCCAUGUGUAUCAUGAGCAGCCUUCUUGCAAGGGCUGGAAGGGCUUUGUCUGGGGGCUCUUCACAGAGGUGCAGGGACAGACUUGUUCCUCCUGCACUGGAGGACACCCCGGCUGCUGAGGUCAGCGCCGGCCUGGCCCUGCGCUGGUGACAUCGCCGCUCCGGGCUGCGCGCCCGCCGCUCUGGUGACCGCACCUCCGUACCCGGGCAGCUGCAGCGCUGGAUGAGCGUGCGGCCCUGGGCCGCGCCCGCUCCCGCGCCGCGGUGCCGCCCGUGGGACGCGAGAGCGGCCCUGGGCUGCGGGACCGGGGGGCCGCGCUUCCCCGCCCGCUCGGCGCCGGGCCCGCCCCCAGCGCCACGGACACGUGUCGCGGCGGCGCAGACACCUGCGGGCGCGGGGCCGCCCCCGCGGGGACCGUCCGGUGCGCGGGCACGGCGGCAGCGCCGCCCGGGGCUCCUGGCAGCGCCGCCCGGCCCGGCGGCUCUCCGCAGUCCCAAGCGGGUCCGCUGCGCACUGACCCCGGCGCGGGCACGGGCGGCGCCACCGGCUGUUCCCGGGACUCACACGGGUCUCUGCCCGGUCACCCCCUCGGCCCCGGGCACCCUCUCCACAGCUGGUGGCUGCGCAUGUUGGUGCUUAAUACCAGUGCAUCUACCAAAACAUGAAGACUAAAGCCAAAGGAAAGAAGCAAACGCGUACUGUUGACAAAGAUGCGUUUUCUGAGGAGUCAGCACUGAGGAGAAAAGAGCUGGUGAAAUGUUUGCAGCACAGAGAAAGGAGGAAUGGGGGAAGUAAGACGAGCAGCAAGGUCGCUGCAGCCAGGGCGCAGCGUCCUUGGAGCGGCAAGGACAGGCGCCUGCGGAGGCUGGAGAGCAACGAGCGGGAGAGGCAGAGGAUGCACAAGCUCAACAACGCGUUCCAGGCUUUGCGGGAGGUGAUCCCGCACGUGAGAGCUGAGAAUAAGCUGUCCAAAAUAGAGACUCUCACGCUGGCCAAAAAUUACAUUAAAUCCUUGACCUCCAUUAUACUCAAUAUGUCCAAUGGACACUUUCCAGCAGCAGAAGGGAUGGGGGGAGCCUGGGGGUCCAAACUGUACCAGCAUUAUCAACAGCAGCGUGGGGAUGAUGAGCACGAGGAACAUCUACAAAAAUAUUCCACAUAGGUUGCCCGCGCGGCCCCGGCCCCGCGCGGCCGGGCGGCGGUUGCUCUGGCCGUGGGUGGCGAAGGCAGAACUCGGCGCCUCGUGCAGCGGGAGCACGGGUAGCACGGUGUGCUGUGGGGCUUCUCCCCGCAGAGCGGAACGGUGGAACGCUGGCCGGGGGGUUGCGGGACGUGUCCAUCGCGGGAGGGCCGCACUGCGCUGCGGUUUGUAACCAGCUCUUUGUUCCCUCCAGCGGGGCUGGGGGGGUGACGGUUCCAUCAGGUCUCCCUGACAGGCUGGUGAGGGAUGUGAACUGUUGUUCCUCACCACAGAUCUACAGCUGUGAUGUAGAACUAUGUGAUGUUUUAUGUGUGGUUGCCUUGCUGGAGAAAUUAUUUGAAUCCUGCCUCGAUUUUGGAUUUUCUUAGUUUUCGAGCUGUUUUCACACUGAAUUAGUUGUGGUUAGCCCUCCUAGUGCUCAAGUGUUAAAGUAUUCCCUGGUCUCCGGCAGGCUGGACUUGCUGGGUAGCAGUGCUUUAUCUUCACCCAGCAGAUGCUCCUUGUUGGUGAAGUCCUUAAUGUAUUUGUCUGUUGUCUGCUCACACUGGGAGAAAGCAGUAAGACUGGGGCGCUUUCAGCGUUGGCCGCUGUCUGGCCAGCGCAGGGGCCUCGCAGAGCCGCGCUGGAGGGGGCAGAGCGGCGCCGUGGGGCCGCGGGCGCCCCGCGGGGCUGUGACCGGAUCUGUGUCGGGAUGGCCUGAGCGCGCGGCUGCGGGCAGCUCGCGCACGGGGGCGUGGCCAGAGCCCGCCAGCCGCGGCCGGUCCGGGCUGUGAGGGCGACCCCGUUCCCCAGCGCGGCGAGCAGAGGAAGGAAACCAAAGAAUUCGGAAAAACAAAUGCCAUUGAUGAAGAACUGCACAUCGCUUUAAGAACCAGUUCCUGAUACUGCUGUUACAAAUACAGACUUGAAAUGCUGGGGGCAGCGUAUUUCUGACAGGACUUCCUGCAAACAAAGAGGUGCUGUUUCAAAGACUAAGCCCGAAAUGGCAUGUGGUGUGUACGUGUACAUAGGGCGGCAGAGGUAAGGCCACCCCUUCUCCGACCACAGCCACCCCUGGGGAACACCGCGCACAGGACCUUGUAAUGAACAACAACGGCUUUGCUACAAAGUGCUGCUUUAUUGGACAUGUCAAAAGGGAUCAGUUGCUUUUCUUUUUCAAAAUUGUUUCAAUUUAAAGUAACUUAUUCCUUAUUUUAACUAGCCAUAACAAUGCCAUUGUAUUUUUUAAUUAAAUAAUCUUCUAAAUAAGAGUUUCAGAAGGCAAAUAUUUAGUACUCAAACAGAAACAACUUAUAAAUUAUCUCUUGUUCACUUAAACCCAGCUUUUUACAAAUAACUGAAACUUGGCAAUGCAGGGAAAAAUGCAAAGGUACAUUAUAAAGCUUAUUGUAGGAAAUCUGAUUGUUGGACAUGUAAACAUGGACUAUUAAAACAAAAAUCUUUUUGAUAUGAUGCAGAGAAAAUACAAUCUUAGUAACUCUCUAAAAUACAUGUAAUAAAGUUAUUUAUUUGGGCAAGACACUGUGCAAGUUACGCAAAACCUAUUAUGGUAAUUAAUGCAAACUUGUUAUUUAUGGUACUCCCACAAUGUAUGUAUAAACCAGAAAUCUCUAAUCACAUACUGUAACGAUCAACAGGAGCUUUUUAAACAGUAAAGCAUCUCUUGAAUCCUCGUU